UUGGAGUCACUGAGACUCUGGAACCUAAGGCAGUUCAUGGUACAUUGGGCAACAGUGAAGACGUCUUGGAUUUUACCCGGGAACCAGUGUCUACCAUUACUGCUGACAGUGCUGAUGCUUCUGAAUUGAAGGCUGAUAGUUUUGGGGAAGGGUCUGCCCAUGGACCACCCAAAACACCUGGUGCUGGUAUCACUAAUCAUAUAAAAGACACUCGUAAUGAAAAGCAGUCUGAUUUUUCUUUGCAAAAUGAAUUAUCAAAAUAUUCAACUGUGGCAAUAGAAGGACAAGGAGAAAGUGAAUUGCCUGAAGGGUUCAAACAAGAUGCCCAUUGUUUAGAGAAGUCAUCAGAAUCAAUUUCCUCUAUAUCUCUAGAAGCUGUUAAACAACCUGUACCAGAUUCUGAGUUGAAGGUAACAACAAGCAGCAUUGAGGUUGGAUUAGUGGAAACUGCACAGGAGGUGGAUGUUUCUGUCAGUUGUUGCACAGAAAUUGAUAGGACAACUGAAAAUUCAGUGGCACCUACUCCCACAACUUUGGAAUCCAUAAAUGUUGAAACUGUUCCAUCCAAUGCUGUAUUACCCA
rnacentral:lncRNA from 1 species